rfam:Triticum aestivum genome assembly, contig: Triticum_aestivum_CS42_TGACv1_scaffold_220689_3B
CUCAUACUCCCUUCGUUCGGAAUUACUUGUCGUAGAAAUGGAUGUAUCUAGAUGUAUUUUAGUUCUAGAAACAUCCAUUUUCGAGACAAGUAAUUCCGAACGGAGGGAGUAUAAU